AUUUUGUAACUAGGUUUUAAGUUCCUUGUCAAGCAGGUGAUCUUUUCUGGUAGCCAGGCAAACAGUAAAACAUUUUACAGCGAUAUUUGGUGAACAACAGAGCAGAACAGGGGGAGUAGAAGCCACAAUUGCUGAAAUGCAUACUUGAUGAAGUAAUGUCCUUUAAAACUGCUAAUACAAGGAUUCAGAGAAAUUGGAUGUGUUCAGAAUUUGGCGCCAUUCCAGAAUGUAAGGAAGCACCGGCUCUAUUUUAAGGAAGACAGAAUAUAAGAAAGUUCUGAGCACUGAAUAGACUUCACCAUGAUUCUUCCCUGCAUCCACUACUGCAUAUGAUGCGAUUUUGUGGUAAUUUGUAUACUAAAUAUGGAGUAUGGAGUACGUUAAACAUGUGGAUAUGAAAUCUGGGCAGAGGGAGUUUGAAAUACUUGGGUGAAUAAUAUCUCCCCUUUCUUUGUGUUCGUAUUUCUACAUUUAUGAAUACAGAUUUUCUCAAGACUAAUCCAAAAAUAUGUUAAAUGCCAUUCAGUUAGGGUCAAUAAUUAUUGUUGCUUCUGGAUUUCAAAGUAGUGGCCCUGGUCAAUAGUGUUUUCUGUCUACUAAGAACUGAUUUGAGCAACUCUGGAGACCAAGACUCAAAAUCUACUCAAUCGUGGAAAUGCCUUGGACAAUUAUACUCUCUUAGCCUCAGCAUUUGGCAAUGAUACCCCGCUCUAAAUCCCUUGAUAUGUUUGCCUUAGCUCUCCACAAGUUGGAAAUUAUUUGAAGGCUUACAACAACAACAACAACAACAACAACAACAACAACAACAACAAACAAUGGUGAACCCCAUGUGUUAUGGUUGAGCCUUCGGGCUCCGGUAAUGAAAGAAGGGGUCGUAAGACUCCUCGAGAGUCAGACAUUCUCGAGGAGCGUGAAAGGAAACGGCUCCGGGAUUUGUUUGCAGAGCUGACAGAUGAGGACUCAUUUGAGGGUUUUUCUCAGGGUUUGGAGGAAGAGAUGGCCAGCUCGGAGGAGGAUGAUAUGGAAUGGACUCGUGUGAGGGAGGAUUUGGGUGUUGGGGAAACAGGCAAUGAAAGCAUGGGAGGUGAUUGGCGGGUUGCAGGAUCAGACCCAUGGACUGGUUGGAGGGAUGGAGCGGGAUCCACAGCUGGGGAUGCUGUGGGGCGUAGUCAAAGGUGCUUAAGUUCUGAUGAGGAUGAUGAUGUUGGGGCAUCUGGAAUUGGGAUGGCAGCUGACAGCGAUGAUGAGCUUGAACUGUGAUAAAAUGGGGUUUGGGACCAAUGUCUAAUUGCGUUGGGCAAGGUAAUCUGGACGGACGCUUGGGCUCUUGCUGGGGAAUUUCCUGAAGACGGGUGUGAUUCAUUACUGGAUACGUAAGUUUACCAAGGACACUGGGCAUUGACGGCGGGAGGAACUGUGCGGGGUUUUUCUCUGUGCAACUUGUGUUUAAUCUUGAUAGCUUGGACCUCCGUCGUCUUUUUGACGGGCAAUACCUACUUUCACUGGAUUGACGCUGGACUGACUGACUACGAUUCCGGAUUAACCCUUCUGCUGGCUAUCGGUGUGACCUUUGGAUUCCUUGACGACUACGCUUGGCUAUUGAACCUCUGGACCGGAUUGGGACCCUGCUGACUGCCGUUACCCUAAACCUGAAUCUUGACUACGACCACGCUUUCUUUCGUUCGCUGCAGGAAGGAGUAAACAAGCCUGGUUUACUCCCCUGCUGUUCCUGAGUAGCAGAGAGGAAUCUGCCACCAGUCUUUUGUUUACAAUCCAACUCCUGUUGAUCCUCUUUUGUUUGCAUUGUUUGCCAAGCUGAAGUAAGCUCUUUGAUUUAAUCCGGAUUAUACUGCUGUUUAACCCGGUUUAUUCCUUUGAACUGUUUUAGCUCAAACUGAGCUGCUUUUUGUUAUUUAGCACACUGAAGUCAAGUGUUUGCCCUGUUCUUUGUUUCUUACAGGCGUUUUUAGUUCUGUAACCUCAAUAAACUGAGUUUUGUUUUA